UACGGGGGGGGCAAGCGUUGUCCGGAAUUACUGGGCGUAAAGGGCGCGUAGGCGGCCUUCUAAGUCAGACGUGAAAUCCCUCGGCUCAACCGAGGAACUGCGUCUGAUACUGGAAGGCUUGAAUCCGGGAGAGGGAUGUGGAAUUCCAGGUGUAGCGGUGAAAUGCGUAGAUAUCUGGAGGAACACCGGUGGCGAAGGCGGCAUCCUGGACCGGUAUUGACGCUGAGGCGCGAAAGCUAGGGGAGCAAACGGG
rnacentral:rRNA from 1 species